CCUACCCGUGUUCUGUGCUGUUUCCUAGUGGUGCCUAGGUGUUUCUUCUUUUGGAUUUUAUUUUGGACUUUUGAUGAAUUUUGCUUUGGACUUGACAAAAGUUGUCGAUUGCUGCUGCAUGUUAUGUCCCUGACAUGAGUCCUCCAGCCAAGGCCACUGCAUUAGUCUUUUUUCGUGCGUGUGUUGUACUGUCACUUUGACUUGGCAGGGAAAAAGCAACGGGAAUAUGCGAAGACCCAGGACAGAAGAAUGGCAGGCGGAAGGGACUACAAGAGAGAAGAUGUUGAUGUGUUGGGAGGCAGGCUUCAUGGAUUGACGGAUAGUCGGAUGGAUGGAAAGUGGGUGGACAAAGGGGAGGCAGGUAGGCAGAUGAAGGUUAUGUUGCCAGGCAGCAUGGGACUUUGAGGGCAUGUUCAAGAGUUGUGUCUGUGACUGUGUUUGUGUGUGACUCUUUCUAUCUGUGUGGGUGAGAAGGAGAGUAUGGGACCCACUGAUUGCUCACGUGGAUGCAGUUGUCAUGGCAACUGAGGAUGUCAUCUUGUACAUGCAAGAGCUCAGCUGUCCGGGAAUCCCAAAGACCUCGCUUCUGGUCCGUCCUGGUUUUUCUUGUACUUUGUCUUUCAAAUUCUCUUUUCAUAUCAGCCCACGUAUCUUUUUAUUUUCCUUUUUUUUUUUUUCUACCUCUUGCCUCAUUCUCCCAUUUCCUUGCCUCCCCAGCAACUGUAACAGAUAUAAAUAGAGGUAAUAAAUUGCACCGAA